UCCUUCCCCCCUCUCUCCUCCUCCCUCUGUCUGUCUCUGGGUUGGUGGCUGCUCUCUCCAUCUCUCUGAUCAUUCUACUGGUCCUGUUCUGCAAGAGGAACAAAGAUGUAGCAGCUGAACCCAGAGAUGUUACGUAUGCUGACGUUAGAAUCAUACAGGACCCAGAACCCAGGAGAAGGAGAGAGAAGUCUCCAGGAGCUGAUCCAGUCUCUGCAGUGAAGACCUCCAACACCACAGUUCCAGGUGGAUCCGGUCCAGGUGAUGUGACCUAUGCUGACAUCAACCACACAGAGAAGAGACAACACAACAGGAGGAGAGAGAAGGUCGUUCCAGACCCUGUCUACUCAGCAGUGAAGACAGACAGAGACACAGGUCAAAAGGUCGUUCCAGACCCUGUCUACUCAGCGGUGAAGACAGAUAGACAGAGAUACAGGUAGAGCUGUAUCUGGAUCCUGGGACGUAACGUACAGACUGAGUGACCCUGUUCAUCAGAACGUCAUGGUGGAUGGAAAAAUAUGCUCUCUUCAUCUGCGGUGAAUAACCACAACCCUGUCAGUCCAUCUCUUUACUUCUCCUUUCUCUUCUCUUCUCUCUCCCUCCUCCCCUUUUCACACCAACGGACUUAUCUUUAGACGCUGCGGCCGCCAUCAACAGCAUCAGCAACAGAGAGGUGUGAAGUUUCCACAACAGAGCUCAUUUUUCAUGCACUUCUCUUUAGACGCUGCAGCCUUGUUCUCAAGUUAGUUUAUCAUGAGAACAUACAGACACCACGGACUGGAACCAUCAACAAGAGUUAGUUUAUCAUGAGAACAUACAGACACCACUGACUGGAACUAUCAACAACAAGAGUUAGUUUAUCAUGAGAACAUACAGACACCACUGACUGGAACCAGCUGACAAUAUCAGUUGUAAAGGUUCAUUACUACUAACAGAAGGAAAGUUGUAGUGUUUUGUCCAUGAUGAUUGUUGGAAAGGCUUCAAUGUGUUAUAUUAUUAUAUUAUAUUCUAAUUGUUAAUGUAAAAUUCUAAAUUGCAUUUUACUAUAAUGUCAUUGUGUGUGUUUAUCUUGAGCAUCACCAGUUUAUGGUGCCAACUUGCCAAAUAAAACUUCCAUGAUCUGUCCACUA